UACUAUCAGCAUCAUUAUCCAGAACUUGAAGUGAAACAAGAGUGUUUGGAUUUACCACAGAGGCAAAUUUGCUGGGGUUCUACCAAGCUUAGUGAGGAGGGCUUUGUGUACAAAAAUGACACCAAGAUGAAAUUGGAUGAUUGCAUAAAAUGUGCAAGAAAAUGGGGUAGCCUCUAGGCACAACUUAAUUGUUCUGCCUUGUAACGUAUGAGCUUCUAUAAAAUACUGUUUUGUUGGCAUUCCCUUCAGUUUGUUUUUUUUAAAUGAAAGUCGAUCGAUAUAUCUGUCUCACUGCUUGUAUGAUUAAUUAUUGUAAAUGUAAUUUGUGAAGAAAUUGGCAAAUAAUCGAUUUUUGUUCAGCUA